rnacentral:rRNA from 1 species
UACGUAGGUGGCAAGCGUUGCUCGGAAUCACUGGGCGUAAAGCGCACGUAGGCGGCUUUCUAAGUCAGGGGUGAAAUCCUGGAGCUCAACUCCAGAACUGCCUUUGAUACUGGAGAACUUGAGUCCGGAAGAGGUGAGUGGAACUCCGGGUGUAGAGGUGAAAUUCGUAGAUAUUCGGAAGAACACCAGUGGCGAAGGCGGCUCACUGGUCCGGUACUGACGCUGAGGUGCGAAAGCGUGGGGAGCAAACAGG